AAGUGGUACCGCUCCAACAGUACUGCUCUGUCCCUGGGGCCAGGCAGGAGCCUCGCCAGCAUGCGGUCCUGUCACCCCGGGGGCCACCGCGCCACUCUGUCCCCCGCUGAGCCGAGGGCGGAGCUGCCUUCAGCAAAAUAUAUAAGGUUCCCUUCGAGCUUUCACCUCGCAGCUCAACCCGGGCCCUAUCCGCACACCACAACACCGCCGCCUCUGCACAGAGCACUGAGCGUGAGUCAGCUGUACCAAAACACCACAACUACACGAUGAACAGCAAUCUGGCCUGGGCGGUGGUGGGGGCGGCGGUGACUGUGUUGGUGGUGAUUGGCGUGGACGUGGCACGGGCUGACGAGUGUUCCCUGCGGCCUGUCAUUCACAUACUGUCCUACCCGGGAUGCACCUCCAAGCCCAUACCUUCCUUCGCCUGCCAGGGCCGAUGUACUUCAUACGUGCAGGUGUCCGGCAGCAAGCUGUGGCAGACGGAGCGGUCGUGCAUGUGUUGUCAGGAGUCCGGCGAGCGGGAGGCAUCCAUCACCCUCAACUGCCCCAAGCCGCGCCCCGGAGAGCCCAAGGAAAAGAAGGUGCUGACGCGGGCGCCCAUUGACUGUAUGUGUCGGCCCUGCACUGAUGUGGAGGAGGGCACCGUGCUGGCCCAGGAGAUUGCCAACUUCAUCCAGGACUCCCCAAUGGAUAGCGUUCCCUUCCUCAAGUAGACUACCAGCUCCACGCAUACGUAUAUAAUGAAAUGUACACCACGAGGAGGGCUGGAGAGCAAAUUCCAGGUUUUGUGUGGUUGCUGAGCUGUAGCAAGACCAGAGCAAGACUAGAUCAAAAAUCUUGCCUUUUGGAUGCAACUCCUCUCAAGAUAAUUCAUCAGCGAAAUGGGAACCCAAGUUUGUUCAUCUUUGCCAAGUGAUUGCCAGAAAAGAAAAGAAUUAUUAUUCAUGUUGCCACAAUUGUGAAGACCCUUAGAUAUCAUCACUACUAAAAUUGAGAAUAACCAAGAUGGAGUACCUCAUCAGCCUAUACAAGAGCAAUGCAAGGCAAGCUGGCUAGGGCAUCCUGGCAUGGGGCCUACAACAUCAGACAAACCUAAACUUACACCACCCAGCCGGGAUUCCAAUUUGAGUCCUCUUGGGUGUGCACCAUGCACAAUAAUCUCUACAAGUACAAGACCUGGCAGAAGUCACUUACAUAUCACACACCCUGGGUAAUUCAGUAUUAAUGCACUAUCUAAAUUUGAUGAUUCAACAUCACAGUGACAAUUACAGGAAUACAAACACAGUUGCAAGGAAUAUGAAUCCAAAAUAUUGCAAAUGUCCUUUUGCUUAUUCACAAACAAUUUGUCUUUCUGAUGGCCUUUUAUACAAGGUAUUAAAUGAAAAUUGUAGUAAUUUAACAAAUCUUAAAUUAUUAUGGAGAAAUACGUUAACAUUCCAAUUUGAACUGCUAAGCAACAACCAUUCACACAAUGCCAAAAAAUAGCAGCUAAACAAAACCACUAUUAUUACUACAAAGCCUACAAUAUAUAAAACUAGCUAGUUUCAAAAAUACCCAGACUUAUGGAAUUUCAAAUUCUGUAGAGUAAAUGAAUGGUCUGGUACCUACAGUGACCCUGCCUUCACUGUCAGACACUGGACAAUAUCAAUAAUGCCUUGCAUAAUCCCUCCUAGUGAUCGUAGUUAGUACAAUAACAAAGAAAAUUAAACAAUAAUUAAAAACUCACCUUUUGCUUCUGCACAAGUUUCCUUAAAUUUUCUUUCAAUGGUUUGAGUGUCCCUCUUUUCAUCUGAUGUGAGCUGUUCCGAAAACUUGGUCAUGAAUGUGAUGCACACUGCAAUGUGAGAAUGGUUUUUCAACAUUGAUAAAAUUAAAUAAAAUUGGAGGGAAACAUUACACACCUGCUAUUCUCAAUUGCCUGUACUUAAGAUAAAUUACAGACUUACAAUGAUAUAAUACAUAAUCUGUGAAAUUUAUAUACUUUUGAAAUAAAAGCAUAAAAAUUCAGAA